rnacentral:rRNA from 1 species
UACGGGGGGGGGCAAGCGUUGUUCGGAAUUACUGGGCGUAAAGGGCUCGUAGGCGGCCAACUAAGUCGGACGUGAAAUCCCCAGGCUCAACCUGGGAACUGCGUCCGAUACUGGAUGGCUUGAGUCCGGGAGAGGGAUGCAGAAUUCCAGGUGUAGCGGUGAAAUGCGUAGAUAUCUGGAGGAAUACCGGUGGCGAAGGCGGCAUCCUGGACCGGCAUUGACGCUGAGGAGCGAAAGCCAGGGGAGCAAAGCGGGG